GUGCACGCUGGCGGUAGGCCUAACACCUGCAAGUCGAACGGCAGCACAGUAAGAGCUUGCUCUUCCGGGUGGCGAGUGGCGGACGGGUGAGGAAUACAUCGGAAUCUACUUUUUCGUGGGGGAUAACGUAGGGAAACUUACGCUAAUACCGCAUACGACCUACGGGUGAAAGCAGGGGAUCUUCGGACCUUGCGCGAUUGAAUGAGCCGAUGUCGGAUUAGCUAGUUGGCGGGGUAAAGGCCCACCAAGGCGACGAUCCGUAGCUGGUCUGAGAGGAUGAUCAGCCACACUGGAACUGAGACACGGUCCAGACUCCUACGGGAGGCAGCAGUGGGGAAUAUUGGACAAUGGGCGCAAGCCUGAUCCAGCCAUACCGCGUGGGUGAAGAAGGCCUUCGGGUUGUAAAGCCCUUUUGUUGGGAAAGAAAAGCAGCAGGUUAAUACCCCGCUGUUCUGACGGUACCCAAAGAAUAAGCACCGGCUAACUUCGUG
rnacentral:rRNA from 1 species